GGAAGUUUGCAGCCUGACCGUGCUUGGAUAUUUUGGGACUUAGUCACCCCCAUCAUAACCGGUUGAUCUGAAGACAAAGGUAACAGCAUUCUCACGAGACGUUCUGUAGUGGCAGGGAACGCCAUCCAAAGUGAGGUUCGCCUUCACUGGGACUCAAAAAAAAAAAGACCGCAAUGUUAUGCAGAUCAUUUAAGAGGACGUAUUCAUUGUUGCCUAUCCGUUUACAUGCUGCUUGUAGUCGUGAAUGUUUGCCUGCUAAAGCUUAACCUCACCACUUGUCUUUAUUCCCUGCAAAGGGGAUACUCAGCGCGACUUUUUUUUAAGGGUCAUUGCAGGGGAUGCCGUUUGGUGUCUGCGCACUGAUAACUUUGGGAACGUUCAGAAUAGGGUAUUAAAAAUAGCAGUGAGACGUUUUUUUUUUUUGUUUUUUUUUGGUUGUGUCUGUGUGUGCAUACUGGCAGCAGAUGGGAUUUUGCAAACACUCAAAGAGAGCGGGCUGCGGUAAUGCGUAGGAGUAUUCACGUGUUGGGGAUCCUCUGCUUCAGGCUGCCUGAUCUACUGAGAUGCCUAGUAACUACUAAGAGAUAGACAGAGAGGGAAACUUUGGGAAAAAACACUUUUUCCCACAAGGCUGUGUUUACAUAAUCUGUAUAUAUUUAUGGAUUUUUCUUUUACGGCCUCAACAACGGCGUUCUCCCCCGUCGUGACAAAGAAGUAGAACUGCAUGGUAGAUGCUCAUUCGUGAGUAUUAGUUAUAAACUUAUAGGUUAUGCGUCCUUAGUCCUCCACUUGUAAACAACUUUCUGCAGCGGACUUGCGUCAGCCCACACGUGUCGCCAGCUGCCUCGGAGGUACAUGCUGUCUUGUUUUCUUUCAUGGCCGCGAUAUAACCGCAUUUGUUAGUCCCGUGAGUCUCAAAAUGCUACUUGCAUUCGCCGGAGCAACAUAAGGUGGCGUCGUUAUAAAACUCAAGUCUGGGAGGGAAGUUAGAAGAUUCAGCAGAACAGGCAGGUUGAGCUGCCCUCACAUGGCUCAAACAGCGACUGAGCUGUUCAGCACCACGGAGAGCUCCCUGUUCGUUUACGCACUCACAUCCUAAGUGUCGAACAAGGACGUGACUGCAAACUGAGGAAUCUUACUGACAGAAAAGCGACGCUGGAAGAGGAAGAGGAGGGAGUGAUGUGAAGGAGCUGUUGCUGCAGCAGAGACCAGGCACACCGCAUGGGGAAACCCGGGAGCUGUCCAGCAGCAAUGGAGAGAACAAUGACAACAUGAGUGAAGAUGGAAACGGGGUGACUUAGGAGCUCAGGUGGACUUGACUGCUGCUGCUGGAGCCUUCAGCUGGGCGCCGGUGAGAAAAGGUGACCUACGAUUUGGAUGUAUGCACCGAGGAUCGACUGAAAGAGGGACCGACCGAUCGACCUUCCUUCCUCCCCCUUUCCUCUGUCCUCCCUCACCUUCUCUCUCUCUCUUCUCCAUCUUGAGACAGGGGCCUGAAGUGAGGAUUGACAGAGGGGAAAUCCUGACUGACUGAAACCCAGCAGAUGAGUUCUUCUCUUCUCUUCUUUCUUUUUUUUUUUUUUUACCUCCCACCCCUUCGCUUUCUGCUCUUCCAUUUCUCCACCCUGAAUGCCUGCUACUUUGUCUCUCUCGUCUCCUUCACACCCGUGUCCUUCAUCUCCUCACCCCGUGCAGCUAAUUGUUCCUGAUCCAGCCUUGGCUUCUUGGAUUAAGGUGUAUCUUAUUAGCUCAACUUACAAUACCAUGGGAGGAUAGGCUAGCAAUUUUAAACCAGCAAAACAAAGCAAAGUACCUGGACUUGAUAGGUGAAGCUGUCAUCAAAGGGUGCCAUGCAAACAUUUUUCCCAUUGAAAUGGGCUGCUGAGGUCCUAUGCAACAUCCAUACUUUCUGCAAAAGCUCUCCUUGCAACUGAAGCACUUAAAGAAAGUCAUUUAGGGAAAUAGCCUAACCGCCUUUUGAAGAGUACAGGUUAAGGAGCGAAAUGCUAUGAACCUGAGAUACCUGCUGAUGAUGCAGAAGGGUCCUCAGCAUACAGGAAGCUCCAACAAUCCUCCCACCAAGUGACAUCAAGGAAAUCUUGCUAUGGUCUAGCUCCACCAUAUUUUGUAGCUACAAAGACGUCAGCUUGUAGCAAUGCAUUGUCAAUGUUUAUCUCACUUGCAUUCUUGUGACCACGGGGAAAGGCCCACUGGCAGUGGGGGAAGACCCACAGACAUCUGUGAAAAAACAGAAAACAGCUCAGAAAGGCAGCAGGCAAUAGUGUUAGAGUUAGCACUCUGCAUGAGUAAACUACAAGUACUAAAGAAAGAGAAUAAGGCUAGGCAGAUUGGGGGUAUUACUCUGCCAGAAUGGACAGACCAUGUAGCCAAAAACCCGGAAAGCAGCGUAAGAACUACAAAACUAAACUGGGCAAAAGAGGUACGUGAGGUAAAAUGAAGUUGCUCCAGCUAUGGCAGAAUAUUUAAGCAUCAGACUUCACCAACUGCAGCAAUGCAAAGGACCCAGAGGGCAAUCUCUGAGUAUAUGAGUUAUGCUUGUCAGUCAGUGGAGGACCUGAGCCAGGAGGCACACCACAGUGCUCUGGCCCUCUGGCAACUCAUGUUGCUCAAACAAGGAAUGUGAAUGGAGAGAGUGUAGUGGUAGCACAUGGUGAUCUCUUCAGAAACAUUCCACUGGUGGAAUAUCCUUACCAGUUACCAAGGCUAAAGCCACACAUCCAGUUUAACAUAGCAGGAUUUACUAUGGACAAAGUGAGACCAGUUGUGAAAAAAGCCCAAGCAGGGUUCACCCCUGGACCAUCAGGGACCUCAUAUAAGAUCUACAAGAACUAUCCUCAGCUGAAAAGUUUAUACAAACCCUUACACACACUCUGGAAAAAGAGGAAAGAGCUCAACCUCUGGACACUUGCUGAGGGCUGCUUUGUACCUAAAGGGAAGAUGUCAGUUGGGAUUGAAGCGUUUCAAGAGAAUUCACUACUGGAUGGUGAGGGGGAAAUAUUCUGGUCCACUGUUGCUAAAAGACUGACAUCUUAUUUGUUCAAUAAUGAAUACAUUGAUCUUAGUGCCCAGAAAGCAGGAGUUAGGGUAUUCUAGUUGUAUGGAGCAUGCAUCAGUGAUUGGCUAGAUUAAUAAGAAAGCAAAGAGUAACAACACUAAACUCUCUAAUGUAUGGCUGGAUCCAGUGAAAGCAUUACCUGAAUGUAAUCAACCUGCAUUAGAGAACUAUCUAAUACCACCAGAGAUAGUGCAGCUUGUAAUGUUAUACAUGAAUAGAUUGAAGAUGAGGUUCGCUGUGGAAAACUUUACCUUUAAGUGACAUAGGCUGGAGAAGGGCAUCAUAGCAGGAUGUACAAUUUCUGUUGUCCUGUUUGCAAUGACUCUACUGCUAGUGGCAGGUGGAUAAAUGGCCUGUAUUUAUAUAGCGCUUUACUAGUCCCUAAGGACCCCAAAGCGCUUUACACAUCCAGUCAUCCACCCAUUCACACUCACACACUGGUGAUGGCAAGCUACAUUGUAGCCACAGCCACCCUGGGGCGCACUGACAGAGGCGAGGCUGCCGGACACUGGCGCCACCGAGCCCUCUGACCACCACCAGUAGGCAACGGGUGAAGUGUCUUGCCCAAGGACACAACGACCGAGACUGUCCAAGCCGGGGCUCGAACCGGCAACCUUCCGAUUACAAGGCGAACUCCCAACUCUUGAGCCACGAUCGCCCUUGAGCCACGAUAAGGGCAACACAGUGGAUCCUGAGUGCACUGGAGAAGAUGGCAACAUGGACAUGGGUGGAAUUUAAACAGGAGAAAUCCAGAAGCAUCCUUAAUGGAAAAUGGGCAAGAAACACUUUCAGUAACCUUCAGAGAUUCUAACAACUCAAGAGCAAGGGAUCCAAUGUCUUGGGAAGAAUUAUGAUAGCUCCCUGAAGGACACCGGCAAUCCCAGGGAUGCCAAAUCUCAGUUAAGUACUUCGCUCAAAUCAAUUAACAACAGCCUGCUGCUUGACAGUUCAAGGUUUGGUGCUUUCAGUAUGACAUCAUACCCAGACUACAAUGGCUAUUCCUACUGUAUGCCUUCCCCAUGCCACAAUUGGAAGCAAAGGAAAGGCUGUGCAGCAAAUUUCUGAGAAAAUGGUUGGGCAUUCUAAUUCCCUUUAGCUUGGUAAACCUGUAAAGCACUUAAAAGCCAUUACCAGUUUCAUCACUGGUGGAAGAAUUCAAAGCCACCAAGGCAAGAGCAGUGGGUACACUCCUCCCAUCAAAAGACGAGAAUGUCCAACAGGCCAACAAAUCUAUUGGAUGCAGCAGGAAGUGGAAGUCACAAGAAGCAGUAUUGGAGCCAGAAGCAUACUGGAAGCCCCAAGAAAUCAUCAGUGUGGUCUGUGAAGGUUGCUUGGGUGCAGAGGCAGCAGAAGAUGACUGCCGGGUGAAGGCGAUGGGGCUUGCAUCUCCAGGCUUUUGGAUGCAGUGGGACCAAGCACUUGCUGGACUAAUGUCCUGGAAAGAACUUCUUACCAUGCACCAUGGCUGAUCUACCAACUCCAAGCAAUUUAAAGAUCUGGGGGAAGGAGGAAAGCUCAUCAUGCCUGCAAUGUGGCGCAGUACUGUGCACACUGAGCCACAUCUUGGGAGGAUGUCCAAAAGCACCGGGAGAGAGGACAUGACAAGGUUCCAACAGAAAUCACCAAAUAGGUGGGCUUCCAGAAAGCUAUAGCCCACAAGAACCGGGUACCUCCUUGUGUAACCAUCCAUUUUCACCUUCAAGGCAACCAGGCUCCCAGGACAAAUACAACAGCCACGAAGAGGGGGGAAAAGCUAGUGAACCUGAGAUACCUGCUGAUGAUGCAGAAAGGUUCUCAACAUAGAGGAAACUCAAACUAUCCUCCCACCAAGGGACACCAAGGAAAUCUUCCAAUAUAACUCCACCAUAUUUUUGGAGCUCCUACAGUAUCAGCUUGUACCAAUGCAUCUUUGAUUUUUAUCCAACUUAUGUUUCCCCAUAGACAUGGGGCAACAACAAGCCUUAGAACUCUGGGUCUGUGGACCAGAUUGUGUUCUGAGAAGGAUGGAAUGUAUAUAUAGUAUGAAACCAACAGUACAGAACUAGAAAAAAUCUGAAUAAAAAUGUUCUUGGUCUUGCCUUUUUUAAUCUAAAAAUAAUAAUUUUGCCAAACAAAUGAAAAUAUUCAAUUCUUUCUGGUUGUAUCCAACUAUUCAAAAACAGACAUUAAUCUAUUAAAAAUGUGAGAUGAGGUGCUGGUUGUACAGCUGCUGUUAUUGUGUAUAUAUUUAUUUAUAUUUAGAUUUCUUCAUACAUUCUUAUAUAGUUCUAUAUUGUGUAUUGUGUAUUUUGUUGUACAGUUAUUUUAUUUUCAACUUUAAUUUAUAUAUUUAUCUUUAUCUUAUUCUUCCCAGUUAAAUUUACCCUUCAUUCUAAUUUGUGUUGUACAGUUAUUUCAUUUUUAACCUUAAUUUAUAUUUUAUUCCUUCCUAGUUAAAUUUACCCUUUUUAAUUUUUCAUAUUUAUUUCCUAUCUUAUUCAUAGCCUUUUCCUUUUUUGUUUUCUUUAGGUCAUGAGCAGUUGUCCAAGCAUUUCACUACAUAUCGUACUGUGUAUGACUGUGUACGUGACAAAUAAAAUUUGAAUUUGAAUUUGGUUCUGUGACUAUUCUGCAAUCUUCUUUUUUUUCUCAGUUUUAAUAAAUACCAUAAUGUUAAUCGCAACAAUCAUCUUUUAUAAUUUAUUUAUUUAUUUUAUUUUUUAUAAAAUACUAAUUAUUAUUUCAAUUAUGUGACAUGGUGAGUCAGAAAGCUCAAAUCAUCAUACAAUUUGCAAGCUUUAAAUACAGAUUAACAC
ensembl:lncRNA